GCUAAGAUUGCUUCGAUAGCAGAAGUAGAAUCGUAACUACACACUUUACUUUUUUUUUUAAAUCUGUUUCUUUUACAUUUUCGCUCGGAUCGAAGCAGAAUAAGAAAAGUUGUAAGUUUUUUUAAAUACUCAGGUUAGAUUAUCCCUAUUUUUUUCUCGUUCGAAUUCACACUCGUUUACUUUACGUAUAACAUAACCUCAAUAAUCUUGAUACUUUCUUCUUUCAAUAUUCCACCUCGUUUUCGAAUAAUCUGAAAGUUUAUUUUUUCCAGGUAUCCGUGUGCAUUAAUCGCGAUGAUUGUUUCAAAAUUGACCAAAGCUACCUCGAUGGGAUCAGAAACGACGAGAUCGACUAGAAACGCGAGGACUUUGUUGCGUGUUAUUGCCGUUUUUCCCAAGGACCUCCCACUGUCCUUCUAACGAGACCACCAAAGGUACGGGGACUAAAAACAACGCAAGAAACCCACCAAAGUACGCUCUUUAUACGGGAUGUUUUAUAUCCGUGGCCAAUUGGAGUGAGUGCAGUCGCUCCAAUUAUGGACGAAUAUAUAAAGUCGAAUCCUGUCGGAUACCACGAUACCAUUGCGACCCUUUAUAUGGCAAAAACUAUAGAGAGCGCGAAGUCCAUCAUCGGGUUCAGCCUCGAAUUUACUGUUACAGUGCGGCGUCGCUUGCCAUCCGUGGAAAGGACGGCAUGAUCUAGAUGCUGUUUUUUGCCGCUAGAGACGCUGCGAACAGAGCGAAUUUGCGCCUCCACUCGCGACUUUCCAUUUCGAAUCGACGAAUUUUUCGGCAAAAAUUGAGCGUGAUACCGAUACUUUUGUUCUUGUCUUGUUUUUUUGGAUUAUAAAAUAUCUACAUUCUGACAGGAAACGAAGAGAAUUUUAUAUCGAUAUUCGUGGUCGUGGGUCGAAUAGAAAGACCGAUUAAAUUAGGUUAGGUUAAGAAAGAACGAAGCAAAGUUUUUUGGUGAUUUUCGUUUUGUGAAUUUAAUUUAUCGUACAUCAGACUUUAUUACCUGUAAAUUGAUCGGAUGAGAUCACAGAUUUCAACGAAUUUGGUUAAUUUGUUGAUCUAAUUAUUGGUUAUUGGCGAAUUCGGAUCUGAAUCGCGAACAGUGUCGAUUAUUCGUUCCGUUGUACCAAUCGUGCUACAUUCACGGAUCUGUUCUGCAAUUUGGUCUUGUUUCAAAUACAAAUAACACGGUACAAUACCUCUAUCAAUAGAACGAGAGUGUACGAAAUAAACAAUAGCCCGUUCCCAAACUAUCGUUCCGUUCGAAAAAGAUUUAUCGAAAUUUCGAAUCCAUUCACCUCGAAUUAUAUCGGAGCGGGAAAAAUGUUCCAACAACAAUUCGAGGAGGAAGAGUAAAACCCGUGUUUCGCGAAUGAACUCGUUCUCGAACCUUUGGCAAUUAACAAAGGCCCGCCUCGUUUCCUGAGCCAGCAUUCGUACGCAAACGAGCAAGCGUGCGGCCGAAGUAACAACAUUUCAGGUCGCUCGGAGAGAGUAAAAGAAGUCUGCGAAGAACCAUACGUUACAUAAUGAAUUCUUGUACACGCACACGGAUAAUCGUGCACAAUAAAAAAUCAUUCCACCGUCGCAUUGUUCGAGAAUUAAUUAAAAUGGCGCGAGAACAAACGGCCGGCCAGAGUCACAAAAGGAGGAGGGGCGGAGAAGAGUUUGCACCGGGACCGGAUAAAAUGUUGCAGCGGCUCCAACCUCGCGCAUCUUUUACGUAUGCACGAGCAUAAGCAUAACGCAGAGGAACAUGGGUAGAUGAUAUCGUGGAUGCACCUACGGGGCCACGGGGCGUCGACGCGACUCCUUUGUCCUCGUUCCUGGCCGCUCGUUCUUCUUCCCUGCAAACGCCUCGCCCCCGGACGACCUCUUGCCGCACACACGUUUUCUUCGCGGAAAUACCAAUCUCGUGCAUCAAUCCUGCUGGGUUUGAAGAAUUGUAUCAAAGAAACACGCUGCGUGCCAGCUACUGUAGCAUAAAGAUUACCAUCUCAUCUCCUCGAGAUCUCUGAUACUGUUAUUCGGCGUAGUAAUACUCCUUCCCUUUUUUUCUUUUUUUUCACCUUUCCAGAGACACGAAUCCCCCGUAUCCGCGCGGUUGUAAUUAUUUUAAUCGAGCUGAUCUCUCCGAUCGUGAUGACCCUUGUAAACGGCGUUACAAAGUGCGCUUAAUGCGCGUUCGUGGCCACGUUUAAACGGCGUUGUCAGUCGUUUCGACGCAGCGAUCUUGGCCCAUUAAAAACAUCGCGAGAAUUACAUUUCGAUCGGAAACGAUGACUCGAUCGUUGCGCACUCUUCGAGGGGACCGAUCAUUACUCGCCGUUUCAUUAGAAUAUCGUCGAUAAAAGGGAUUUAAUUAUAAAGGCUCGCCGUAACGCUUCCUGCCCGUGGAGACUCGUGUGCGUGCUACGCUCGCUCCUUCCCGUGUCCCCUUUCUUCGUCUUUUGUACUUUGUAUUAUAUAUUUUUACACACGGUCGGUGAUUAGUAAGGCUAUUUUUUUCAUUACAAAACAUUGUUACCAAGAAUUGUUCUCAUUAUAGAAGUGCAUCGUUAUCUGAAUAAUUUUGUUCAAGACUA